rnacentral:rRNA from 1 species
CCUUUAGUGCUGAAGUUAACGCAUUAAGCACUCCGCCUGGGGAGUACGGCCGCAAGGCUGAACUCAAAGGAAUUGACGGGGGCCCGCACAAGCGGUGGAGCAUGUGGUUAAUUCGAAGCAACGCGAAGAACCUUACCAGGUCUGACAUCCUCUGAAAACCCUAGAGAUAGGGCUUCUCCUUCGGGAGCAGAGUGACAGGUGGUGCAUGGUUGUCGUCAGCUCGUGUCGUGAGAUGUUGGGUUAAGUCCCGCAACGAGCGCAACCCUUGAUCUUAGUUGCCAUCAUUAAGUUGGGCACUCUAAGGUGACUGCCGGUGACAAACCGGAGGAAGGUGGGGAUGACGUCAAAUCAUCAUGCCCCUUAUGACCUGGGCUACACACGUGCUACAAUGGACGGUACAAAGAGCUGCAAGACCGCGAGGUGGAGCUAAUCUCAUAAAACCGUUCUCAGUUCGGAUUGUAGGCUGCAACUCGCCUACAUGAAGCUGGAAUCGCUAGUAAUCGCGGAUCAGCAUGCCGCGGUGAAUACGUUCCCGGGCCUUGUACACACCGCCCGUCACACCACGAGAGUUUGUAACACCCGAAGUCGGUGGGGUAAC